AACACUAUACUUUCAGGGAUCAUUUCUAUAGUGUGUUACUAGAGAAGUUUCUCUGAUCGUGUAGAGCACCGGGAACCUUGAAGAGGAGGCAGAGCAUCCUUCCCCGAGUGUGAAGCCAGGUUCUAGUGUUGCUUCUGCAACUGCCUUUUACCAUUCAUGAUCAAGUUCUUCUCCUCCCUCGGAAGAGUGAGAGGCUGAGGAGGGCAGCCUGAGUUGC